AUUGAACGCUGGCGGCAGGCCUAACACAUGCAAGUCGAGCGGAUGAGAAGAGCUUGCUCUUCGAGUUAGCGGCGGACGGGUGAGUAAUGCCUAGGAAUCUGCCUGGUAGUGGGGGACAACGUUUCGAAAGGAACGCUAAUACCGCAUACGUCCUACGGGAGAAAGCAGGGGACCUUCGGGCCUUGCGCUAUCAGAUGAGCCUAGGUCGGAUUAGCUAGUUGGUGAGGUAAUGGCUAACCAAGGCGACGAUCCGUAACUGGUCUGAGAGGAUGAUCAGUCACACUGGAACUGAGACACGGUCCAGACUCCUACGGGAGGCAGCAGUGGGGAAUAUUGGACAAUGGGCGAAAGCCUGAUCCAGCCAUGCCGCGUGUGUGAAGAAGGUCUUCGGAUUGUAAAGCACUUUAAGUUGGGAGGAAGGGCAGUAAGCGAAUACCUUGCUGUUUUGACGUUACAACAGAAUAAGCACCGGCUAACUCUGUGCCAGCCGCCGCAGUAACAC
rnacentral:rRNA from 1 species